GUUCUCAGACGAACAUCCACACCUCGCCGCAACAGUUCAUUCGAACCAGACACGGGGGCAGGAAAAGGGAUGAAGUAAACCUAACAGCAGCGUCUUACGAAGCGCCUGCGGCCACCGAGUCUGCACCCAGUCAGGGGGGAAGAGGAGGGGGAGGAGGAGAAGCAUCGCCAUCGGCGAUGCAGCCUUCUCGCGACCCGGGCAGAGAGUCUACUUUCAAGCCUUGCGGUAAUGGGCAUCACUAAAGAAGAUGAGCUUGCCUGUGCAAAGUGCCAGAGCGCUUGAGAAGGCUGCAGGAUGGGGAACUGUGCGGACUGCUGAAAAGCAACAGAAGAGUGGGUAGAGUAACAAUGCUUUGCCUGACAUCAGAAUCACAGGAUGGCUGAGUUUGGAAGGGUUAUCCAGCCCAACUCUCACUGCACAAGAAGGGCCACCUCAAUUGUUUUGCUCAGGAUGGGCAUAUCUGGAUGUUUUUUUUAAUAUCUCCAAGGAUGAAGACCACCCCUCUGGACUAACUAUUCCAAUGCUCAGUCACCUUCACAGUUCCCUGAUGAUGUUCAGAGAAAACCUCCCAUGUUCCAAAUUGUUCCAUGUCCAUUGCCUCUGGACCUCUCACUCGGCACCACUGAAAAAAAGCCUGGCUCUGUCCUCUUUGCACCUUUCCUUCAGUUAAACAUGGAUGAGAUAUGCUCUGAGUCUUCUCCAGGCUGAGCAAUCCCAACUCUCCCAGUCUCUCCUCAGAAACAGGGGGCUAAGAAGGAGCUUAGAGAGACAGAACAAACAAGUGACGACUAGUGUGAGCAGAAACAGAAGUGGAACUGAGUGAGUGGGUGCAGAGGAGAAGGAUGACUGUCUCUUGCUGAAGUAGGAACUGAAGAAAUGGAAGGUUAAAGAUUAUUUUUCCUAACAUUAGUACUCUUCCUGCAUCUUGCCUGUGAGAAGACAACCAUGAAUUUACUGAACAAGGAGAAAGAGGAAAUAUUUAAAACACAUGCAUGCACACUUGCACCACCUCUCGUAGCACACUCAAGUCAUGCUCCUGCAGUCAUCUUGCUGCAGGAUGCUUUGACAGAUGUCCACUAAAGCAGAAGGCUUUACUGUAAGCAGCACGUGCUAAUUCAACCAAUGACUUACACAAGGAACAGUUGAUGUAGUGCCCUCAGAAAUGCAUAUUUAGUAUGGCCCUAGAAUGAAGUCAGUACAUCCAGACACUGGAAAAUAUUCACAUGUAUCAGUUUUUCCACUACUAAAGAGUGUUCACUGGCUUUAACUGCAAUUUUAUAAAUCCUAACAAAUUUUAUGCUCACAGGAAACCAAUUUCUUACACAUGACUAAUUUCAGCAUGAUGAAUUUAAGCAUAUGACUGAUUGUGGAAUGUGGCAGUGGAAACCUGAAGCAUCUUGUAUGUUUUUUUCUAGCAGAAAACAGUGGGUAUACAUUCUCUAUGGUGUUUACACCUGCAAAUCCCUCCAAAACGAGGAAUAUAUGCUCCUCCAAACUUUAUAUCCCUUCCAAAGCCAGGCAUAGGUUUCUCUCUGACCUCAAUAUUAAGUCUUUAUGCUACGAAUAGAUUGCUAAGUUUAUGUUGGCAUUAUUGGAAGUAACAUCUCUAAAUCCCAGUUCAUUGCAGUAAGAAUAUACUACUUCAGAGGUUGCAUUUUACAGAGACAUGAAAAUCUGGUACUUGACAACCAGCUAUAGGCGACAGUUACCUCUAUUCAUGGUUCAUUUACUGUAAAACCAGUUUAAGAAUGUAUAAAUAAGCCUGUACCAAAAGAAAAAAAAAUAAAAAUCACUAGGCUCUUAGGAAGCUCAACAGUUAGGAGGCUCAGUCCUUUCGUAUUGGUCCAAAAAAUUUCUAAACUACAGUAAAAACUAACAUGCUGCAUACCCAGAUUAGAGCAAAGUAAAUUAUCCAGACUACAUGCUGUGUUUUAAGUUAAACUAGAUAUGAGAAAAAUAAUAGCCACGACAGCUAGAAUAGAAUUCUUCUCUACAUACCUCUGUUUUGUUAAAAAAUCCCCACCUUUACAGUAUUUGAUAAUUUAUAUUAUACAAUGUUAAUCUCAUGCUUUUACUCAUCAAAAAUACAAUAAAUGAUAGCACUUGCAAAACAAAAAGAUAUUAAAUACAGAUGGUGAAGGUUAUUUCUUUUGCCUGAGAAAGAGCAAAAUGUGUUUUUCAGUUCACAAAUCCAAUGACUCUCUAAACAAUGAAAUAAAGAGCAACAUCACUGAAA